UGAAUCUCCAAGUUUUACACCAAACCACCUGCUACUCGUAUUGGGGAUUAUAACAUUUGCUGUUGCAUUGCUUCUUAUGUUCCUGUGUCACAGGUUCCAAGUAUGGAAAAGGCUAUUUCCACAAAUACCAAAACCAGCGAAGAAAAUAUUUGAAUCAAUUGAACAGAUAGAAUUAUUGUUUCAGGAACAGAUUACUACAAAGAAAACCCUGUCUGAAGAGGAUGAAGAAUGCAUAUGCUUACAAGUAACAGAAAUCCCUCAAAACGAACAACCUCAGGAUGUGAAUAUUGGGAUACAUCAGGAGGAUUAUUCAAAUAUUUAUUAAUACCUUUAUAAGAAGACAUCAGUUUGGAACCGAUUGUCUCUUUUAGUGUUAAAGUGUCCUUUUUAGUCCUGAUGAUAAAUCUGUCUCCAGCUCUUGUUGGCCCUACCUCUCAGAUGUGGCAAGAUUCACGACUGAAUUCACUGUGGCCUUCUGGCAAGUAGUGACAAUACAAGAAGAAGAGAGGGUAUAGGUAGAAGACUUGUAGCUUCAGAACUGGAAAUAUAAAUGUUAUUUCAGACUUUGGUUAGCUUAAUUACUCUUCAUCUAAAAUGAAUUGUUUUCAGUGGAUUCUUAAUUUUAAGGAUACAUGGACUUUCACUGUGAAUUAUGCUUUGAGGCUUGACCCUAAAGCCAGUAUGAUAGGCUACCCUUGAAGAAGAUGAAGCCUGUUUCUAGCUGCAUGGUCUGGUUCUUCUUACACGUUCUGCUGUUUAAUCCGAACAUGCUGUCCCUGACCAACUCUGCAUUGGGCUAAAUAAGUAGCCCAUCUCUCAAAACAGCUUGUCCAGAGCACAGUAGGAUGUCCACAAUAAGAGAGUAGACCUGUUAUUCAGAAAGUAAUAACAACAUAUAUAAGAUAUCAAAAAAACUUGGACCUUUACAUGUAACUAUUUUUCACAAUAAGGAAGAGGAGAGAAUGCCCCAUGUUGUUUACUAUGUAAUGCUGAUCAUUUGCUUGACCCUUAAAAAGUGAUCAGUGGAAUCUCUUGGACCUUAUGUCGGUUUUAUUGGAUAAAGCAUGUCCAUAGAAGCCAUAUCAAUGGAAAGCAGACUUCUCCCAAAGGUUGGUGAUUGUAAGUACAUAAAGUUGCUGCUAUCCUUCCUUACUUUUUGAAAGGUACCACCUCAUACAGACACUUUUUCAGAGGCUGAAGGAACAAAUACAAAUGCACAAUGUUUAAUGAAAGUAAUGUAUAAUUUAAGGAGGACUCCAAUCAAGACUAGGGGAUCCAUUCAAAGGAUUUAACUUGGUUAGAGGAUUUGCAGCUAGGAAUUACUGGCCAUAGACUGUAGAUUGUUUAAGUAAAUCAGUCCAUAGAAAAAGUCUUGUGCGCCAAUUCAUACAUUGAGCCCAUGCUCUGUGUCUCUCUGACUUGCUAAACUUUAGGACAAUAAUCUCACAUGGUGUGAGCUCCCCAAGUGAACUAUCAAACGACCUAAGGAUGCCUUUUAAUAGUUUUCCAUAUGCCGGUAGUUUGCUAAUAUUUGCUAAGAAAAUUUUAUCCUAUGAGCAAUAAUUAUCAGCAAUACAUUUAUAAUAUAAAACACUGUAAACAUUUCAUUAUUUAAGUAUGCAUCCAGAACUAACUCCUAUGGAUGGUCAGAGCAGAAUCCUCAUGGUAUCUACGUGUAGAUUAGCAUAUACAAUGAACAUUUUUUCGUCUGUUACAGUCACACCUCUAAGGUAUUAGGCCC